rnacentral:rRNA from 1 species
AACCGCGGUUAUACGAGAAACUCAAGUCGAUAACUACGGCGUAAAAUGUGGCUAGGGGAAUCAAACAAAUAAAGCCAAAUGCCCUCCAAACCGUAGUACGUACACGAGGGUGCGAAACCCAACUACGAAAGUAGCUUUAAUAACCCUCGACCCCACGAAAGCUAAGAAA